GUCAGGUGGACGUUGGAGCGUGGAAGUACGGGCAGUUGGAUGUCAUAUAUGCGUGUGUCUCACGAUGCUCGGGUGUGUGCUCCUUCGGCUUUUCCACACACUCCCGUCCGUAACAAGCCUCCUCGCUCGGGUACAUAACGGGAAUCGGUUAAACGGAGUGUGGUGUGCGUGUUUCACUUCAUUGUGAUGUGCGUCGCUGCGUUAAGCUCCAUCGGUUUCACGGUCACCUUGAGUAAAUCAGAGUGCUCAAAGCAGUCGUAGGGGCCUUGCGCCCUGUGAACAGUCUUGACGGACUGACUUGGUUUUGCAUGGCAUGUCGGAAGACGACGUCGUGUGCUGGCUCAGAGAUAUAAUCAGUGGUACAAGCCAGCCUCGACGUAAUGAUUAAAAGGGACGGUCGAGGGCAUUGGUAUUGCGGGGCGAGAGGUGAAAUUCUGUGACCCCCGCAAGACCUCCUGAAGCGAAAGCGUCUGCCAAGGACGUUUUCAUUAAUCAUGAACGAAAGUUAGAGGAUCGAAGGCGAUCAGAUACCGCCCUAGUUCUAACCCUAAACGAUGCCAACCAUCAAUCCGCGCGUAGCACCCUUCUUAACGGGCUCGGCGGGCAGCUCCCCACUCACGGGAAACCAGAGCCUCUGGGUUCCGGGGGGAGUCUGGUUGCAAAGCUGAAACUUAAAGGAAUUGACGGAAAGGCACCACCAGGCGUGGAGCCUGCGGCUUAAUUUGACUCAACACGGGCCAUCUCACCAGGCCAGCACUCUUGUACGAUUGACAGAUUGAGAGCUCUUUCUCGAUUCAGUGGAUGGUGGUGCAUGGCCGUUCUUAGUUGGUGGAGUGAUCUGUCUGGUUAAUUCCGAUAACGAACGAGACUCUCCCCUGCUAACUAGUCGGUUGGAUCUUGAUCAGUGGGUUGCGUGCUGAGUAACUCUCGCGCUUCGCGUGUGACUUUAUGUUGUGCGUGUUGUGUGUUGGAUGCCUUGGAUCACACUGCACCCCAAGUCCGCCGCUUAUGCUAUAACUCUUCUUAGAGGGAUUCACGGCACUGAAGCCGUAAGAGACUGAGAGCAAUAACAGGUCUGUGAUGCCCUUAGAUGCUCUGGGCCGCACGCGCGCUACAAUGCCGGGUUCAGCAGGUGUUACUCCUGCUCCGUUAGGAGCGGGUAACCCUAUGAAAGCCAGUGUUUUUGCAAGUGCUUCCUCCCUCGUGGAGUUGCACAGAGGCGUGCUUGGGCCUGGGACUUGCAAUUCUUUCCCACCAACGAGGAAUGCCUAGUAGCGGCGGGUCACUGAGCCCGCCGUGACUCAGUCCCUGCCCUUUGUACACACCGCCCGUCGCUACUACCGAUUGGGUGUACCAGUGAGAGCCUUGGACUGGCGUCCGUUGUUAUCGCAAGA
rnacentral:rRNA from 1 species